AUUGAACGCUGGCGGAAUGCUUUACACAUGCAAGUCGAACGGCAGCACGGGGCAACCUGGUGGCGAGUGGCGAACGGGUGAGUAAUACAUCGGAACGUGCCCAAUCGUGGGGGGAUAACGUAGCGAAAGUUACGCUAAUACCGCAUACGAUCUACGGAUGAAAGCGGGGGAUCGCAAGACCUCGCGCGAAUGGAGCGGCCGAUGUCAGAUUAGGUAGUUGGUGGGGUAAAGGCUCACCAAGCCAACGAUCUGUAGCUGGUCUGAGAGGACGACCAGCCACACUGGAACUGAGACACGGUCCAGACUCCUACGGGAGGCAGCAGUGGGGAAUUUUGGACAAUGGGCGCAAGCCUGAUCCAGCCAUUCCGCGUGCAGGAUGAAGGCCUCGGUUGUAAC
rnacentral:rRNA from 1 species